AUUCAGUUGAGGAGUCCCAACUAGGACGAAACGUGCAUCAAACUGGAU
rnacentral:hammerhead_ribozyme from 1 species